rnacentral:ncRNA from 1 species
UUAGUAGUUUCUCCUUCCAUAAUAGGAGAAACCUGUGGGGAAAGUACCCCUACCCUCCACAGGAAAACGGGGUAAAUUGCAUGGAACUCCUAACUUACCUCAUAUGAAAGGUAUAAAGGACAAUUUGCAGCCAAGCGUAUGUCAAAUAAAACUUAAAAGGGAUAUACGAAGGUUCAACGACUAGUAGGUGAGUACUUUAUUUACAAUAAUCCUGCCACGAAAACCCCGCAAUAAUAAGUAAUAAAUACAUAUUUAUGUAACCAUUAGUAUUAUUGAUGACAUAGUCUGAACCACACCGAUAAGGUGUGG